UUCUCCGGCUCGGCACUCAAGAGUUGCGACUCAAGAGUCCCGACCGCUGGGGUUACGUUUCAGUCUGUGAGCAGCUGCGUGACCUGCACGACGAUCGGGGAGCGAUCCUCGGCUUUCUGCUUCUGGCUUCAGUGACUGAAAGACGUGAACAGUGUGAUCAAUCAGUAAGAACUGGAAAGUGUGUGAAGAAAAUUGUACGGACACGUCGAACGAUGGUGACUUGAAUACUUGAGACCUGAUCGGGGUGAUCGCGGAUGCUGGAAGGAGAUGAGGAAGAUCUGGACAAGACCAGCUGGCACCUAGUUACGGAUUGCGAAGGCGGCGGCGCAGGAGCAGCAGCAGGAGCAGAGGCACCAGGAGUUGGAGGUUGUCGAUGGCCAAGUGGCCAAGUACCAAGUACCAAGUACCCAGCGUCCAAGUCGCCAGAAGUUGCCGACUCACAAUGUGUGUGCGCAAAGGCUUUAAGAAAUGCCGAAUUCCAGAAGCCGCAGUACAAUCAGUUGAAUUAAAAAACGAGCGCACAGACAGAGGACGACGUCUGGAUGGGAUUCGGAUUGGGGAUGUGGAUGUGGAUGGGGAUGGGGUGCCUCGGCCUGCAGGGGCUUCCAGAGGAUCGCCGGCGAUAUCAUCGCGUGGUGAGCGCGGGCUAGGAAAUUAAGAGGACAUUGUGGCGGCAUGCGGUUAGAACUCGCAGCGGCGGCUUAAACACAAAAUCCGCGGAGGAGAUUCCUUGCGUGGCUGCGUUGUUGGUGGCUUUUGGACAGCUGGACGCUGCCUGACAGAGGUCGCCCUCGUACGUAAUCGACGAGCAUUGCAAAUGCUUGUGUCCUCCGCCGCCUGCGUCUUGUGCUGCGCACGUGGCCAUGUUGCAGGCGCAGCAGCAGCAGCCGCAGCAGCCGCAACAGCAGCAACCGCAACUGCAAGCAGCAAAUCAUUGAAAUGUCGUUAGAGGCUCGAGCGGCACGCAGCUUCGAUAGUCAGCGAAACCGCAAAAUGCUUUUAAUUUCUCAAACUGAUAUGCACCCGUGCUCCCACUGCCGAGGAGGAGGCCAGGGCCAGAGGUUCGGUCUUUGUUUCAUUCCUCGGGUUUUCCAUGCCAGCUAAUUUGGUGGAGAACGUAAUGAUGAGGAAUUGGGGGUAAGGUUCACAGCACUAGGUUCGAGCAGAAAGGAUCACAAGAGGUACUUAGUACAGUAGUAAGCGGCUGGCUAUCGUGAGGGAAAGAACCAUUUCAUUCGGAGUUUAAGCAAAUACACAAUAAAGCUGAU